GAUGAAGAACGUAGCGAAAUGCGAUAAGUAGUGUGAAUUGCAGAAUUCAGUGAAUCAUCGAAUCUUUGAACGCACAUUGCGCCCCUUGGUAUUCCAUGGGGCAUGCCUGUUCGAGCGUCAUUUGUACCUUCAAGCUUUGCUUGGUGUUGGGUGUUUGUCCUGAGGGACUCGCCUUAAAGUAAUUGGCAGCCAGUGUUUGGUUUUGUAGCGCAGCACAAGUCGCGAUUCAAAGCUAUACGCCCGCUUCCACAAGCCUUUUUCACUUUUGACCUCGGAUCAGGUAGGGAUACCCGCUGAACUUAAGCAUAUCAAUAAGCGGAGGA
rnacentral:misc_RNA from 1 species